GAUGAACGCUGGCGGCGUGCCUAAUACAUGCAAGUCGAGCGAACAGACGAGGAGCUUGCUCCUCUGACGUUAGCGGCUGACGGGUGAGUAACACGUGGAUAACCUACCUAUAAGACUGGGAUAACUUCGGGAAACCGGAGCUAAUAACGGAUAAUAUAUUGAACCGCAUGGUUCAAUAGUGAAAGACGGUUUUGCUGUCACUUAUAGAUGGAUCCGCGCCGCAUUAGCUAGUUGGUAAGGUAACGGCUUACCAAGGCGACGAUGCGUAGCCGACCUGAGAGGGUGAUCGGCCACACUGGAACUGAGACACGGUCCAGACUCCUACGGGAGGCAGCAGUAGGGAAUCUUCCGCAAUGGGCGAAAGCCUGACGGAGCAACGCCGCGUGAGUGAUGAAGGUCUUCGGAUCGUAAAGCUCUGUUAUUAGGGAAGAACAAAUGUGUAAGUAACUAUGCACGUCUUGACGGUACCUAAUCAGAAAGCCACGGCUAACUACGUG
rnacentral:rRNA from 1 species